CCUACGGGAGGCAGCAGUGAGGAAUAUUGGUCAAUGGGUGCAAGCCUGAACCAGCCAUCCCGCGUGAAGGACGACUGCCCUAUGGGUUGUAAACUUCUUUUGUAUAGGGAUAAACCUACCCUCGUGAGGGUAGCUGAAGGUACUAUACGAAUAAGCACCGGCUAACUCCGUGCCAGCAGCCGCGGUAAUACGGAGGAUGCAAGCGUUAUCCGGAUUUAUUGGGUUUAAAGGGUGCGUAGGCGGUUGGAUAAGUCAGCGGUGAAAGUUUUCUGCUUAACAGGAAAAAUGCCGUUGAUACUGUCUGGCUAGAAUAUGGUUGCUGUGAGUGGAAUGUGUGGUGUAGCGGUGAAAUGCUUAGAUAUCACACAGAAUAUCGAUUGCGAAGGCAGCUCACAAAGCCAUUAUUGACGCUGAGGCACGAAAGUGUGGGGAUCAAACAGGAUUAGAUACCCUGGUAGUCCACACUGUAAACGAUGAUAACUCGCUGUCGGCGAUACACAGUCGGUGGCCAAGCGAAAGCGAUAAGUUAUCCACCUGGGGAGUACGACCGCAAGGUUGAAACUCAAAGGAAUUGACGG
rnacentral:rRNA from 1 species